rnacentral:ncRNA from 1 species
UCCAUGGGGAUGCGCGAUCUCCCCACGAGGCGCCAGCUGAAAAUCGUGUUCCGAUCCUGUCGAGAUGUUUCCAAGGAGGAACGCACAUG